GGCUCUGUGGCUUCGUGGAUUAAAGUACUUGUCUGGCAAACAGGAGAUGCUGGGUUUCAAUCCCAGCAGGGCCU
rfam:Macaca mulatta chromosome 19, whole genome shotgun sequence.